CCUACGGGUGGCAGCAGUGAGGAAUAUUGGUCAAUGGGCUUACGCCUGAACCAGCCAAGUCGCGUGAGGGAAGACUGCCCUAUGGGUUGUAAACCUCUUUUGUCAGGGAGCAAUUGGCGCUACGUGUAGCGUUAUCGAGAGUACCUGAAGAAAAAGCAUCGGCUAACUCAGUGCCAGCAGCCGCGGUAAUACGGAGGAUGCGAGGGUUCACCGGAUUUAUAGGGUUUAAUGGGUUCGUAGGCGGAAUGCCAAGUCAGCGGUAAAAUCCCGGGGCUCAACCUCGCUCCGCCGUUGAAACUGGCGUUCUUGAGUGGGCGAGAGGUAGGCGGAAUGCGUGGUGUAGCGGUGAAAUGCAGAGAUAUCACGCAGAACUCCGAUUGCGAAGGCAGCAUACCGGAGCCCAACUGACGCUGAAGCGCGAAAGCGUGGGUAUCGAACAGGAUUAGAUACCCGGGUAGUC
rnacentral:rRNA from 1 species